UAGAUGAUGGGAGGUUUGCCAGUCGUUGACGGGCUUGAAAUCUUGCUCUCCCGUGAUUAUUUCGUAAAGGGUGAGCAAAGUUUCAGGUGUGUCAAAGGCUUUGGAUACACAACGAUGGAAUAU
rnacentral:precursor_RNA from 15 species